AGUUUGUGUAUAGAGAAAGAAUCUCGAUAUUUUUUCAACAAGCAGGUAAUAAUUUAUUAUUACCUUGCAAGACAUAGGUAGGUAAAAUAAUUUAAACACAAUUGGUUGGAAUUGGAAUACGUAAUGGAGAUGCGUUCUGCUACGCGGCAGCCGAGCGCGGCACUGCCGAUUGGUUGCCGCGCCGAGUCGCGUCCCCCCGCGCCGCGCCGCCCGCGUGCCGCGCCGCGCUCGCCCUCGCUCGGCGCCGACCGUGAGCCGAGUCGGCUGCCGCGGUUAUCGACCCAGAACGGGACAGCAACAAAACAUUAUGUCGCAUUCGUUCCUCAUGUGAAACUUAUCGAUAUUCAUUUUGUUUACUGUUAACAUUCUUGCAAGUGACUGAUAUUGGACACAACUGAUUUAAUAAACAAAGUGAAUUAUCUA